GGCGGGGUAGCUCAGUCAGGCAGAGCAAGCGGCUCAUAAUCGCUGUGUCGCCGGUUCAAGUCCGGCCCUCGCUACUA
rnacentral:tRNA from 20 species